AUGAUAAGGGGUCCUGGACUAGCUUUUUAGUUUCCAAUUUCUCCCCCAUCCAUCACCUUGCCAUUUGUGUAGGCUUUUAGAGGGAUUGAGAAUUAAAAAAAAUUAUAGCAAGUGGACAGUACGUUAAAAUGGUGGCCGAUAGUAUUGUUUUAUUAAAGUCCAGUUCAUAUAGGGACCGAGCAUUAAGUUUCCCUACAGACCAAAUAAGCUUUAGUCGUGGCUGCCCAAAAUCACGGCAACCUCUUUGACCUGAAAAGCGUGAGGCCUGCGUAGUGUAGUUGUUGCCUUUAUUCAAAGUGGCCGGAGUUGCGGAU
rnacentral:lncRNA from 1 species